ensembl:misc_RNA Metazoa_SRP Metazoan signal recognition particle RNA
GCCGGGUGUGGUGGCGCGCGCCUGUAAUCCCAGCUACUCAGGAGGCUGAGGCAGGAGAAUCGCUUGAACCCUGGAGGCAGAGGUUGCAGUGAGCCGAGAUCGCACCACUGCACUCCAGCCUGGGUGACAGAGCCAGACUCUGUCUCAA